rnacentral:rRNA from 1 species
ACGCUGGCGGCAGGCCUAAUACAUGCAAGUCGAGCGCGUGUAGCAAUACACGAGCGGCGGACGGGUGAGUAACACGUGGGAACAUGCCUAUCGGUUCGGAAUAACGUAGGGAAACUUGCGCUAAUACCGGGUACGCCCGAAAGGGGAAAGAUUUAUCGCCGAUAGAUUGGCCCGCGUUGGAUUAGCUAGUUGGCGGGGUAAAAGCCCACCAAGGCGACGAUCCAUAGCUGGUUUGAGAGAACGAUCAGCCACACUGGGACUGAGACACGGCCCAGACUCCUACGGGAGGCAGCAGUAGGGAAUCUUGGACAAUGGGGGAAACCCUGAUCCAGCCAUGCCGCGUGAGUGAUGAAGGCCUUCGGGUUGUAAAACUCUUUCGACGGGGACGAUAAUGACGGUACCCGUAGAAGAAGCUCCGGCUAACUUCGUGCCAGCAGCCGCGGUAAUACGAAGGGGGCUAGCGUUGUUCGGAAUUACUGGGCGUAAAGCGCGCGCAGGCGGCCAUUCAAGUCAGGGGUGAAAUCCCAGAGCUCAACUCUGGAAUUGCCUUUGAGACUGUCUGGCUUCGAGUACGGGAGAGGUGAGUGGAAUUCCCAGUGUAGAGGUGAAAUUCGUAGAUA